rnacentral:lncRNA from 1 species
CUUAAUCUCAUAAUAGAUUGAAGCAUAUUCAAGUAGAUACAACAGAGAAUAAAGAUAAACAAGGAUUUAAACAAGCAAAACGAAAUUAAAACUCAAGAACAGAUGAUGAACAAUUGAAGAACAGCUCAAGAACACUAAGAACAAUGAUAUUUCAAAGAGAGAGAGUUUUGACAAGUUAAAUUAUUACAAAGUUGGAUAAUCAUGUUUCUUGCCCACCCUUUUGAUAAUAAGAAAGCAAAUAUUAUACAGAAAAGUAGGAAAAAUCGUGCAAAGGAAAGGUGGGUGGAAGAAAGUGGGAAGUUGGUUAAUCCCAUCAACUUUCAAGUGGUCCCCGGCAAGGAUUGAUACACCUAUAGUAAAUCGAUCAUAACUUAUCCAAUACAGCUUCAAAUGACUUGAAACCACUUCUAUUGGAAAGCUAACUCAAUUUCCAGUGUCUCCACAAAUUUUGAGCUUCAGAAGAGAUUUUUAAGGCCUUCAUCCGUGUUCAUCUUUCACGCUCUGGCUUCAGAGCGGGUACGCCACCUCGCUGCCAAACCCCGCUCCAAAUGUUUUGCUUCGUUUCUUCAUAACACGCGCGAGCUACAGACCCCGCUCCACCAGGUCGCUCUACAUAUGGAGCGGGUACGCUACCUCGCUGCGUGAGGUCGCUCUGAUAGGGAGAUCGCUCAAUGAUCACUUUUAACACUUCUUUUGGACUCCAAUUGCACUCAAAAUCCCACCAAUGGUCCUCUAACUCAUCCAUGGUGCUCUCCAACACCUGAUAUGUACAAAUGCAAUGAUAUGCAACCUAAAUGUGCCUAAAUGAUGCUCCAAAUGACCAAACCAUGCAAGAAUAAGAAGUUAAAAACAUGUAAAUUCACAAGAUAUCAAU